rnacentral:rRNA from 1 species
GACGAACGCUGGCGGCGUGCUUAACACAUGCAAGUCGAACGAGAAUCUGCUGAAGGAGGAUUCGUCCAACGGAAGUAGAGGAAAGUGGCGGACGGGUGAGUAACGCGUGAGGAACCUGCCUUGAAGAGGGGGACAACAGUUGGAAACGACUGCUAAUACCGCAUGAAGCAUAGGGGUCGCAUGAUCUUUAUGCCAAAGAUUUAUCGCUUCAAGAUGGCCUCGCGUCUGAUUAGCUAGUUGGCGGGGUAACGGCCCACCAAGGCGACGAUCAGUAGCCGGACUGAGAGGUUGAACGGCCACAUUGGGACUGAGAUACGGCCCAGACUCCUACGGAGGCAGCAGUGGGGAAUAUUGGGCAAUGGGCGCAAGCCUGACCCAGCAACGCCGCGUGAAGGAAGAAAGGCUUUCGGGUUGUAAACUUCUUUUGUCGGGGACGAGUAGAAGACGGUAACCUGGCGAAUAAGCCACGGCUAACUACGUG